rnacentral:rRNA from 1 species
CUACUGCACUUUUUAACAAGUACUCACCUUGUGUGCAAUGUUUGCUGUCGAGUCGUUUAUUCGUCUCGACAGCACAAUACCAACCUUUUAUUGUAAAUUUUUUGUCUGAAGCUAUUUCGAAUAUAUAAUUCUAAAUACAACUUUCAACAACGGAUCUCUUGGCUCUCGCAUCGAUGAAGAACGCAGCGAAAUGCGAUACGUAAUGUGAAUUGCAGAAUUCAGUGAAUCAUCGAAUCUUUGAACGCACCUUGCGCUCCUUGGUAUUCCGAGGAGCAUGCCUGUUUGAGUGUCAUUAAUAUAUCAACCUUCUCUUUUUGAGUGGUUUGGAUGUGGGGGUUUGCUGGCCUCUUAAAAAGGUCUUGGCUCUCCUGAAAUGCAUUAGCAGAACAACCCUGUUCAUUGGUGUGAUAAACUAUCUACGCUAUUGAAUGUGAAGGGCAGUUUGGCUUUCUAACAGUCCUUGGACAAGCUCAUCAUUAAUGUGACCUCAAAUCAGGUAGGACUACCCGCUGAACUUAAGCAUAUCAAUAAGCGGAGGAA